rnacentral:rRNA from 1 species
CCUACGGGAGGCAGCAGUGGGGAAUAUUGGACAAUGGGGGGAACCCUGAUCCAGCGACGCCGCGUGAGUGAAGAAGUAUUUCGGUAUGUAAAGCUCUAUCAGCAGGGAAGAAAGAAAUGACGGUACCUGACUAAGAAGCCCCGGCUAACUACGGGCCAGCAGCCGCGGUAAUACGGAGGGGGCAAGCGUUAUCCGGAUUUACGGGGUGUAAAGGGAGCGUAGACGGUAGUGCAAGUCUGAAGUGAAAGGCGGGGGCCCAACCCCCGGACUGCUUUGGAAACUGUAUGGCUGGAGUGCAGGAGAGGUAAGUGGAAUUCCUAGUGUAGCGGUGAAAUGCGUAGAUAUUAGGAGGAACACCAGGGGCGAAGGCGGCUUACUGGACUGUAACUGACGUUGAGGCUCGAAAGCGUGGGGAGCAAACAGGAUUAGAUACCCGAGUAGUC